rnacentral:lncRNA from 1 species
CUGCCUUAGUCUCCUCUGCCAUUGAUUAUCCAAACCAUAACAAACAAGCAAGAAAGAAAACAAGCAAGAAAGAAAACAAGCAAGCAGAAGUCAGAAACUCAAAAAGCCAAAAGGAUUCUACUUGCACACCAGCUAAUCAAAAUGAACAGUUUAAGACUGUGUGUGCCAAAAUGAUGCAUAUGGGUGAUCACUUGCUGUAUUACAGGUGCAGUUAUCAAAUGUUUAUAUAAAAUAGUAAGUCUAAUUCAGUUUACACAUUAUUAUUUAGUUAAUGUAAUAAUAAUGUUUUAAAGAAAUGUACACAAUAUAUAACAUUUUCUAUUUCAUUUUUUAUUGAAAAAAAUGCAUUCAAACUUAAUACCUUCUUAAGGCUAUGGAUCAUAAUAAACAGUGAUAUUUUGGAGUCAUAUAAUACAGCUAUCCUGCAAUUCACCUUCACUUUUGCUCAGUUUACUUGAGAUAUAGGAGUUUUUAAAAAAGUACGUAAUAUUUUAAUGAACAUUUUAGUUGAAGCCAUAUAUAAUGCUUUACUUAACAUUAAAAUAGUUAUGUUCUUUUCCUCCUAUAGCUAUACAUUGCCAAGAUUGACAAAGUAUCUGUUUAGCAAAUUGCUUUCUAAGCUAAUUAUGAAAGACUUGUUUAUGAGCUGUCCAACAAAGGCCAUUAUGCCAAACAAUAUUAUUUAUGUCAAAUAAUACUAUACAAGCCAAAAAAUAUUUCUUAGUAAAAAAAUUGAGAGACCAUUUAAUAAAAUAAAAUAUCAUGAAGGAAUACAAAUAUUAAAUGGUUCUCUCUUUUCUGUAUUAACAUUUUAGAGAAAAAGCUUUCUUACUGCCAGCCAUCCAUAGAAUAUGUAGGUAUAAUAUUCAGAAAGGGACAUACAUAUAAAAGAAGCUAGAUUAAAAUAGGCAGUAUAUCAUAGUGAGAAAAGAGUGGGAUUUUAGAAUCAAAUUAACUGGAUUCAAAAUCUACUCCAAUUGUGUGGCCUAGGAAAGUUAUUUAAGCUUUAUGUGCUUCUUUGUCCUUUUAUGUAAAAUGAAUAUAAUAAAUUUUUCUGUGCUGUAGAAUGACUGUGAGGACGGUAUGACCUAAAUUAACACAUUUAAAGCACAUGGAAAAGAACAAAUAAGUAUGCAAUCCACAUUUUCCUGUGAUUGUGCUAUUCUGGUUCUGAUUCUCCUUUGAACUUCUUUAAUGAAGUUCAAAAGGAGAACAUUGACUUUUUAAAGAAAGCACAUUAUUUUAGAAGAGAUUGAAAAACUUCUAAUGGCUCAAAGACAAUAUAGGAGUAAAGAGAUGCUAGAUGUUUGGAAAGGGACCUAGAACAGAGGUUUGUGUUAACCUGAUGCUUUAAUAUGUACUUAUUGUCUAAAUGGUAAAUGUUUCCACUUGAAUAUUAUUUCACAGACUUUCACAAUAUACAUAAACAUAUGUAUAUACAAUGUAUUUGUAUUUCAAAAUUUUAGAGUUGAUUUUCAAAAGAUGGAUAUUAUAGUUAGAGAAAGAAUUCUAUCUAUGUAAUAGUAUAUUGAGUCGGUUACUUACUCUUAUUCUAAUUAUAACAAAGGCUCGAAAAUGGCAGAAGGAGACAACAUGUUUUAUGCAUUCCAAAGAAGCCUGCCAGUAAGCCACCAAAAAUUAAAGUUGCAUACGUUCUUCAAGAGUAAAACAGGAAGAAAAUAGAACCUGCAUUAUGCUCCUCAAACCACCUAUUCCACUGCUACCAUAAUCACGAGGUGUUUAGGUAAGACUAAGAUUGGCAAAGGUACAGAAGUUAUUGUGUGUGAUCUUGCAGUAAACUCAGUGUUUGUGGUCUCUUGAGACUUAAUUAUUUCUUCUUGGCAGAAUGAAAGGUGUAUCAGUUAGCUAAUGCUGCCAAAUAAUCCACUUAAACUUUAAUGGCUUAAAACAACAACAUACUUAACUUCCAAUUGUAUAAUUUAGCAAUUUAACUUGGUUCAGCUUAAAGGUUGCCCUGGUCUCAUCUGGUCUUCUGUAGCACCUGUGAUCAGAUGUGGGUCAAGCGCUUGACUUUUGCUGAUCUUGGAUGCAUUCUCACACAUGUUAGACACUUCACCUGGGACAAUUGGAAUGACUCAAUUCUGGUCCCUGUGGUUUCUCAUCCUCCAGGAGAUUAAUUCAAGUUGAUUCACACGGCAGGGGGAAGGAUUCUGAAAAAAAGGUGGUGGUGUGGAUUGCUUAAAGUCUAAUCUUAGAACUGACAUGCUUUGGUCUCAUUGCAUUUUAUACUUAAAGCAACUCUCAAGGCAAACCCAAUUUAAGGUGGAGGCAAAUCACCUCCUGAUGAACAGCACUUCAAGUUAAUAUUGUAGAAAGUACAGAUAGGAAAGCAAAACAAAAAUACAAUCACUUUGCAAACAAUCCACCACAAAUGGUUAUGGUUUUUCCUUCCCAAAAUAUUUUGUAAUAUUUAAAAAAACUAUUUAUUGUAAUUGACAAGUAAAAUUUUAUAUACUUGUGAAGUAGCACUUGGGGUUUUGAUAUAUGUAUACAUUGUAAAAUGGCAACUUCAAGCUAAUUAAUAUGUGGAUUACUUAAUAUACUUAUCAUUUUUCAUGAGAACACAAAAUCUAUUCUCUUAGCCAUUUUCAAAUAUUCAAUACAUUGUUAUACAUUGUUAUAACUGUAGUCAUUAUGAUGUACUAUAGUUGUCUUGCACUUAUUCCUCUUAUGUAACUGAAAGUUUGUAUUUUUGACCAACAUCUCCUCAAUCCUCCCAACCUCAGCCUCUGGUAACCACCAUUUUACUCUUCAUUUCUAUGAACUCAACUAUUUACACACCACAUAUAUGAGAUCAAGCAGUAUUUAAUAUCUUUCUGCACCUAGCUAUUUUUUCUUAACAUAGUGUUCUCCAGAUUCAUUUAUGUUGGUUCAAAUGACAAGAUUUCCUUUUUUUUUUUUUAAACUGAACAAUAUUCAUUGUGUACAUAUACUACAUUUUCUUUAUCCACUUAUUCAUUGGUGGACCAACACUUAGGUUGAUUCCAUAUCUUGGCUAUUGUGAAUAGUGCUACAAUGAACAUGGAAGUAAAAGUAUCUCUUCAAGAUAAAAAAAAAAAGAAAAAAAAAAGCACUUUCUUUUUGUAGUGAGAAGUGGUUGCUUCCAAGGAAAACACUUCUAAAGUUUGUGGCAUUUUAAGGGAUGGAGACGGGUUUUCUUCCAAUGAGGAAUUAUUUUUGAGAACAUAAACAAGCUGAUUUUCAUGUGUUUAUGGAAAAUAUAUUUUAUUUGAAGAGUAAUACAAAAUAUAGAUACAGGUUUGCCAUGGAGCAAACUGCAAAUAAAUUGAAGGAGGUGGCAAAAAUAUUUGGAUUUUCUGUGGUCCAAGUGAGUAUUGCAGUGGCUGAGCAGGAGCAGUAUUACAGUUUUCUUACAAUAAAAUGGUGUUUGCUAAAAUAAAUUCCUG